CGGAGCAGCAGUCUCACCCCCCUCCCCACUAGUAAUUGAGGGCCCUUCGAUCACUCAGGAGAAAGCUGGCAGACCACGAGUCCCCUAAGGAAAGUUAUCAGGAUGCAGGGAAGGUGACUUGUGUGGACUUCUUACAGCUCGAUAUCCCACAAUGCACCUUGCACCAGUAUCGGUGGAGAAGGAAGUACAUACAUCGUUAGUGUCCUCGGUUAGUUUCUGAGCGCCUGGCCUCCUGCUAAGCUAAACAUGGAUUCUCUUUAAGCGACUACACUGUGAACCAAGCUCAACUGCUGUGAGAGACCUUUACACAAAAUAUGUUUAAGAGCUGUGUCUGCAGGGUGAUGCUGCCAUGUUUUCCAGAACUUCAGGAAAUGUGACAGCAGCAGUGAUCCUCAUCCUGGCAGGAGGAAGAGAGGAGCAGAGAGAGACACACAUAUUCAGAGUCUAAAUCCUGCAGAUGAUACUUACACAGCUCUGAACCUCACCACCAUCAGCUCAGACUAUGAUACUCUGCAGCAUGUCAGAGACUCUGCCAGUGACACUAACCCCACCACCAUCAGCUCAGACUAUGAUACCCUACAGAGUGUGAGGAUUUAAGUCCAGCAGAGAAGAGCUUCAGCAGCAGAUUUUUAAAAGUACAGAGACUUUUCAAAUAUAAACGACAGAAAGUUUCAUACACAACUCUGCGACACGGUUUCCCAGACAAUUAAAGGAAAAAUAGUCUACGGUUAGGCUUAAUCCCUGUUCCUGUGUCAGUUAACAUCUCUCUUUCGUUCUCUCUUACACACUGAAUAAUCACACAUCAGUUCUAUUUUGAGUUUUAGCUGUUCAUUAUGAGUUUUUUCUAAUCAUGUGAUCUUAAUCCUCCUCAAAGAUCUGAACAAGAAUUAAACUGCAGCAUCAAUCUCACAUGAAAGAACUCAGAGAAAGUGUUUUAAUCAGGAUUUUAGCGAAUCAUCUUCUUCUGCUUGUUUUGUGUUUAUUAUGUUAUACUCUUAAUUUAAAGAGCAUUCCAAACACGUAUUUGUAAACAACUAAUGUACCUGUAUUUGCACAGAGAAUUGCACAGAUUAAGGUGAUAUUGGUCCACAUCUUUAACUGUACAAAAGUGUGGAGUUCUCAUAGUUGGGUUUUUCAUUUAAAUCUCCACACGUUCUCUAUUGGGGACCAGUCAGGUCUGCAUUCAGACCAGCUUAGAACCUGUAACUACAGUUUCACACCCUGCUUUUGAAAAGUGCAGCAUGUGGUUUUAUUUUGUCCUGUUUAAAAUGCAUGGACACCCCUGGGAAAGAUGUGGUUCUAAAAUCUUAAUGUACAUACUUUACUGCAUUAGUGUUAAGCUACACAAGUGUACUGACACACCCUCAUACCGUCCCAGACCCUGUCUUUGGUCUGGCUGUCAGAAGCAAACAGUCCAUUUUUAUCACAAAAAUAUAAUAAAUGCAAUACUACUUUAUUUAAUCACUGUACAGUCCAAAAACAUGGAGAUCAGGUAAAAUUGGAUACUCUAAAUUGUCCAGAAAAAUCCAGAAUACUCUAAAUUGAUCUGGUGUGUAUGUGUGUAAAGUGUGUGAUAUAUAUGUACGUUUGUGUUUGUGUAAAUGUGUGUGUAUGACUGUGCCCAGAUAUGGAUUGGCACUCUGUCCUGGGUAAUUGCUGUAGUGCCUGAUGUAGUCCUCCAGGUGGACGGUUGUUUCCGGUUGAGAGAACGCUGUGCGCUAUUGGCUGCCGCUUCUCACAGGUGUGUGGAUGAGUGUUGAUGUGUAAUGUGCUUGUGUGUAAGACGUGUUAAUCGUAAAGCGUCCUUGGGUUUCUAGAAAGGCGCUAUAUAAGUUGAAAU